rnacentral:rRNA from 1 species
GUUGGCUAUCUUGUUUUAACGGUUUGUGUUGGUUGGUGUUAAAGUUAAUUGAAGUAUUAUUUGUGUUAUUGUAUUGUUUUGAUUUAAUUUUUAUUACUAUAGGUAAUUUGUACUGUAGGGGGUGGUAGAUUUAGUAUUGUUUUGGAAGUUGAUUUUGUUUAUUGUACCUUGUGUAUCAGGGUUCAUUGAAUUUUAUUAUUUAUUUUUAUUUCCCGAUUUUAAAGGAGUUAAUGACUUAUGUUAGUUGCUGUCUCAUUAGUAUUAAUAAUAAGUUGUUGGUAGUGAAAUGUUAUUCGUCUUUAGUGGUUUCUGGUUUUUCAAGAAAUGAAUUUAAUUCAUACGUCUUAUUUAAUUUCUGUUGUUUAUUUACUCAUUUUUAUUUGAUGUUAAGAUUAAGGGGGAUUAGCUCCUGUUUUUAUUCUUAUAAUUGAUUGAUGGUUUAAUUUAGUUUUGUGGAUUUUAUGGUGAUUUUCUAUUUGAUUAUGUUAAAAUUUUAUUUAUUCUUUUUUGAAUUUUUUGUUAUUUAAGUUAUUUAUUGGAAUGUUUUCUUUCUUUUUUGUUUGUAUAGUAAUUAUUGUGUAAUUAGUAAAUUUUGUUUAAUUGUUAAUUGUGUAAGCGGUUAGGUGUUAGUUGCUUUUGAGGAAUUCGGCAAAUUUUAUGUCCGCCUGUUUAACAAAAACAUCUCUUCUUGUUAGUUUUUGAAGUAUGGCCUGCCCGCUGACGUUUAAAAGAGUUGAAGGGCCGCGGUAUCUUGACCGUGCAAAGGUAGCAUAAUCAUUAGUUCUUUAAUUGUGAUCUGGUAUGAAUGGCUGGACGAGACAUUAGCUGUCUUAAGGGUAUUGUUUAUUGAAUUUGGAGUUUGAGUUAAAAUUCUUAAAUGUUUUUAUGGGACGAGAAGACCCUAUAGAGUUUAACAGCUUUCUUACUUUAUGUCGUUUGUUUUGUGUUUCUUAUUGAGUAGGGGAAGGUGUUUUGUUGGGGUGAUGGGAGGAAUUUACUUAACUCCUCUUUGUAGUUGUAUACUUGUAUGUAUUUCUUUUGAUCCAUUUAUUUUGAUUAUAAGAUUAAAUUACCUUAGGGAUAACAGCGUUAUCCUCCUUGAGAGUUCUUAUUGGCAGGAGGGAUUGCGACCUCGAUGUUGGAUUAAGGUGAAUUUUCGGUGUAGGAGCUGAAAUUGAUUAGGUCUGUUCGACCUUUAAAAUCUUACAUGAUCUGAGUUCAGACCGGCGUGAGCCAGGUUGGUUUCUAUCUAUAAGUAGAUUAUAUAUCUUAGUACGAGAGGACCGGGUAUUUGGAAUAAUUUUAGUUACAUUGAAUUUUAUUAAUGAGGUACUAUUUUGGCAGAUAAGUGCAUUGGAUUUAGAAUCUAUUAA